rnacentral:rRNA from 1 species
CCUACGGGAGGCAGCAGUGGGGAAUCUUGCGCAAUGGGCGAAAGCCUGACGCAGCAACGCCGCGUGCGGGAAGAAGGCCUUCGGGUUGUAAACCGCUUUCAGAAGGAACGAAACUGACGGUACUUUCAGAAGAAGGUGCGGCCAACUACGUGCCAGCAGCCGCGGUGACACGUAGGCACCAAGCGUUGUCCGGAUUUAUUGGGCGUAAAGAGCUCGUAGGCGGUUCGGUAAGUCGGAUGUGAAAACUUUGGGCUCAACCCAAAGCGUGCACUCGAUACUGCCGUGACUGGAGUUCGGUAGGGGAGCGGGGAAUUCCUAGUGUAGCGGUGAAAUGCGCAGAUAUUAGGAGGAACACCGGUGGCGAAGGCGCCGCUCUGGGCCGAUACUGACGCUGAGGAGCGAAAGCGUGGGUAGCAAACAGGAUUAGAUACCCUGGUAGUCCACGCCGUAAACGUUGGGCACUAGGUGUGGGUCUCAACCAACGAGAUCCGCGCCGUCGCUAACGCAUUAAGUGCCCCGCCUGGGGAGUACGGCCGCAAGGUUAAACUCAAAUGAAUUGACGG